AGUUCGGGAGCCUUCCGGUGGGACGGAGGGCAUGAAUAGAACCGAUAACCCCUCUAUCGCCAAGCGGCGUAUGCUCGUGGCCCGACGAGCCUGCG
rnacentral:ncRNA from 1 species